CAGAUUCCUGUUGGCCUCUCUGCACGGCACUCCUUCCUCCUGGGUUGAGGGCAGGACCCUUUCUAAAAUGAGGAUCUUAUGACCUACAAUCAGACAAGCAGGUUCCCGGGAAAAAGUUUCUUCUCCUUUCGUGGGCAUUAAUACUGUGGGCUCCGACGACUCCGAUGGGCACUUUCCUUUCCUCUUUCGACUGUGAGCCCGGCCUCUAAGAAUUACUUCAGCACGAUUGGUCCCCGGGCCAAGCUUUCACUUCAGCUCCUGAUAGGUCCCGGGCCAAGCUGAGUGGUCUCAAUGAAUCAUCAAUUCAGCUCCUGAUUGGUCCCGGGCCAAGCUGAAUCUAGCUUUCUCCAAGACAGCUCACAGACUAAGCAAAUUCCUUCCCCUUCCCAGUCCGCAAAAACCCCCGACCCCAACCUCAUAGUGGGCAACCCGUUCAGGCCCCCACUCUCCGCUGCGGAGAGCUUUUUUUUUUUUUUUUGAGACGGAAUUUUGCUCUUGUUGCCCAGGCUGAAGUGCAACGGCGCGAUCCUCAACUCACCGCAACGUCUGCCUCCCGGCUUCAAGCGAUUCUCCUGCCUCAGCCUCCCAAGUAGCUGGGACUACAGGCGUGUGCCACCACGCCCAGUUAAUUUUGUAUUUUUAGUAAAGACAGGGUUUCUCCAUGUUGGUCAGGCUGGUCUUGAACUCCGGACCUCGGCCUCCCAAAGUGCUGGGAUUACAGGUGUGAGCCACCGAAUCCAGCCGAGAGCUUUCUUGUUUUGCUUACUAAACUUUUGCUCCAACCUCACCCUUGUGUUCGUGCUCUGUGACACAAAGAACUCCGGAUACUAUCUCAGACAACCAAAGACUGCUACAUUUUGGCGCACUGGUGAGACUACAACACCUUGCUAAUUUUUGUAUUUUUGUAGAAACAGGUUUUCACCGUGUUGCCCAGGCUGGUCUUGAACUCCUGACCUCAAGCAAUCUGCCUUGGCCUCCCAAAGUGCUGGGAUUACAGGUGUGAGCCACCACAUCCAGCAGAAGGUCAUUCUUCACCUAUCAAAAUGGCAAAGAUAUUUUAAAAAGAAAAGAUAAAAAUUGGCAAAGUUCAGGGAAAUUGCUGAUGUGUAAGUGAUUGUGUGAAACUGUUCUGAAGGGUUACAUGAAAUACAUAUUCAAAGCCUUCAACGUGUGCCUACUAUUUGACCUAAAUAUCUCAUUUAAUAUUUUUCCAAAGAAAAUAAUUUAAGGGUCAAAUGUUUUAGAGUAUUUAGGAUAUUUACUGCAACAUUGUUUAUAAUAGCAAAAAAGAAAUACUAGAAAAAGCUUCACUGUACAGCAACAAAUGGUUAAAUAUAUAAUGUAUAAUCUAUACAAUAGCAUGCAGUAGGUCUCUUAACUCCACUUAACACAUUCACAAAACUCCCCAGGGCGCAUCCCUCCCCAUUAGCCACCUCCCAUCAUGUCAUAGGUAGAUAUGCAAAAUGCUAUAUUGAAGGGCCAGGUAAAUCUCAGUCAGGAUGGCAUUACGGCAUGGAGAGACAAGUUAUUAUAGUACAGCACAUGCUUGAUUCCAUGAGUCAAACUGCAUGCUUCCAAGAGAUAGUUGUGUUCGCUCCUGUGACUAUUUCAUGCCAGAGGUGCUUGUUGACACUGUGAUUUCAAUAAACAUUACAUAAACUAAUAUAAAAAAAUUGCUUGAGACAGGGUCUUGCUGUCACCCAGACUGGAGUGCAGUGGCAUGAUCAUAGCUCACUGCAGACUCAAACUCCUGGACUCAAGCAAUCCACUCACCUCAGCCUCCUAACUGGGACUACAGGUGCACACCACCAUGCUCAGAUAAUUUUUUAACUUUUUGUAGAGAAAGGGUCUCACUAUGUUUCCCAGGCUGGUCUCAAGCGAUCCUCCCAUCUCAGUCUCCCAAAGUGCUGGGAUUACAGGCAUGAGCCACCACUGUGCCUGGCCUAAAAAUUUUUUGUUAAAAAUGCUUUCCACCGGCCGGGUGCAGUGGCUCAUGCCUAUAAUCCCAGCACUUUGGGAGGCCAAGGUAGGUGGAUCACCUGAGGUCAGGAAUUUGAGACCAGCUGGCCAACAUGGUGAAACCGCCUUUCUACUAAAAAUACAAAAACUAGCCAGGCAUGGGGGCUGACACCUGUAAUCCUAGCUACUCAGGAGGCUGAGGCAGGAGAAUCGCUUGAACCCGGGAGGUAGAGGUUGCAGUGAGCCAAGAUCAUGCCACUGCACUCCAGCUGGAGCGACAGAGUGAAACUCUGUCUCACACACACACACACACACAAAAAUACUUUCCACCUAAUUCUGAGGCAGAGCCAAGUUUGUGAACACUAAUGUAGAACCCACAAUAAAUAUUGCUUCCUUCUUGGGAGGACUUUUUUCAGAGAUUAUUUUUUCUUCUAAGUUACCUUCCUGUCAAAAAAGGAACGGUCUUGGCUACAGAUUUUUUUUUUUUUUUUUUUUUG
rnacentral:lncRNA from 1 species